CCAGACUCCUACGGGAGGCAGCAGUGGGGAAUAUUGCACAAUGGGGGGAACCCUGAUGCAGCGACGCCGCGUGAAGGAAGAAGUAUCUCGGUAUGUAAACUUCUAUCAGCAGGGAAGAAAGAGGACGGUACCUGACUAAGAAGCCCCGGCUAACUACGUGCCAGCAGCCGCGGUAAUACGUAGGGGGCGAGCGUUAUCCGGAUUUACUGGGUGUAAAGGGAGCGUAGACGGCCAUGCAAGCUCGGUGUGAAAGGUGCGGGCACAACCCGCAGACUGCACUGAGAACUGUAUGGCUGGAGUGCCGGAGGGGCAGGCGGAAUUCCUGGUGUAGCGGUGAAAUGCGUAGAUAUCAGGAGGAACACCGGUGGCGAAGGCGGCCUGCUGGACGGCGACUGACGUUGAGGCUCGAAAGCGUGGGGAGCGAACAGGAUUAGAUACCCCUGUA
rnacentral:rRNA from 1 species